rnacentral:rRNA from 1 species
AAUCAACGCUGGCGGCGUGCCUAACACAUGCAAGUCGAACGAGAAAGGGUAGCAAUACCUGAGUAAAGUGGCGCACGGGUGAGUAACACGUGACUAACCUACCUUUUAGUGGGGGAUAACCUAGGGAAACCUGGGCUAAUACCGCAUAACACUUACGAGUCAAAGCAGCAAUGCGCUGAAAGAGGGGGUCGCGGUCGAUUAGUUAGUUGGCAGGGUAAUGGCCUACCAAGACUGUGAUCGAUAUCCGGCCUGAGAGGGCGCACGGACACACUGGAAC